CCAGUGUAUUUUUCGCAUAUUCUAAUAUUUUUCCUCAUUUUGAAAAUAGUUGUCUGCUUUUCACCACUGCCAGUGAAUUUGCCAUCUUGGAGAUUCCUUUUUUACCCUCUGGAGCAUCUCCCUGCCAAAUUUUUUUUGGAUAUGACAUAACCAAAAAAAAACGAGCUUACGCUUAUAAGUACAUUCAUAGUUCCCACAGUUCUAUGAUAAUAUCCUCUUAUCCUCAAAAUUAUGCAUCAACAUGUUAAUGAAUUACAG
rnacentral:lncRNA from 1 species